AAUUUCUAAGAUUAGAAGUGCCGGAGCCCUAUGGAAGACUGUCAGCAAAGAGGAACAAGAUAUUGAAGUGCAGCCCCUCAAAAAAGAACCGUCCAUAAGAGUUUGCGAAUACACAGUAAUGCUAUAUAUGUAGCACACUGGUUGCUAUAAGGUCUGUGAAGCAUUCUGUUCAUAGUACAUUUUCAGAGCUGAUGCUCAACUUGAGUAAAUAUGAAUGCAGGAAAUGGAUGGGCUUGGACAUUUUAUGAUUGAAAACAAGUAGCCAAGUCGACAGACUAACUGCAUUUCAUUUGACAUUUUUAACACAUUCAAACUUGUAUCUUGUGUAUUAAUAAAUGAUGAUGGAAAGUGUGUAUAAAACCAA